CACAGCCCACUAUAACCCAUGGUAAUAUGACUCUAUACCUAACACACAGCCCACAAUAACCCAUGGUAAUACGUCUCUAUACCCGACACACAGCCCACUAUAACCCAUGGUAAUAUGUCUCUAUACCUGACACACAGCCCACUAUAACCCAUGGUAAUAUGUCUCUAUACCCAACACACAGCCCACUAUAACCCAUGGUAAUAUGUCUCUAUACCCAAAACACAGCCCACUAUAACCCAUGGUAAUAUGUCUCUAUACCCACCACACAGCCCACUAUCACCCAUGGUGAUAUGUCUCUAUACCCAACACACAGCCCACUGUAACCCAUGGUAUUAUGUCUCUAUACCUGACACACAGCCCACUAUAACCCAUGGUAAUAUGUCUCUAUACCUGACACACAGACCACUAUAACCCAUGGUAAUAUGACUCUAUACACAACACACAGCCCACUAUAACCCAUGGUAAUAUGUCUCUAUACCGAACACACAGCCCACUAUAACCCAUGGUAAUAUGUCUCUAUACCCAACACACAGCCCACUAUAACCGAUGGUAAUAUGUCUCUAUACCUAACACACAGCCCACUAUAACCCAUGGUAAUAUGUCUCUAUACCUAACACACAGCCCACUAUAACCCAUGGUAAUAUGUCUCUAUACCCAACACACAGCCCACUAUAACCCAUGGUAAUAUGUCUCUAUACCCAACACACAGCCCACUAUAACCCAUGGUAAUAUGUCACUAUACCUAACACACAGCCCACUAUAACCCAUGGUAAUAUGUCUCUAUACCCAACACACAGCCCACUAUAACCCAUGGUAAUAUGUCUCUAUACCCAACACACAGCCCACUAUAACCCAUGGUAAUAUGUCUCUAUACCCAACACACAGCCCACUAUAACCCAUGGUAAUACGUCUCUAUACCCGACACACAGCCCACUAUAACCCAUGGUAAUAUGUCUCUAUACCCAACACACAGCCCACUAUAACCCAUGGUAAUAUGUCUCUAUACCUGACACACAGCACACUAUAACCCAUGUUAAUUUGUCUCUAUACCCGACACAAAGC
rnacentral:lncRNA from 1 species